rnacentral:rRNA from 1 species
UGGGAGAGGAUGGUAGAAUUCCAGGUGUAGCGGUGAAAUGCGUAGAGAUCUGGAGGAAUACCGAUGGCGAAGGCAGCCAUCUGGCCUAAUACUGACGCUGAGGUACGAAAGCAUGGGGAGCAAACAGGAUUAGAUACCCUGGUAGUCCAUGCCGUAAACGAUGUCUACUAGCCGUUGGGGCCUUUGAGGCUUUAGUGGCGCAGCUAACGCGAUAAGUASACCGCCUGGGGAGUACGGUCGCAAGACUAAAACUCAAAUGAAUUGACGGGGGCCCGCACAAGCGGUGGAGCAUGUGGUUUAAUUCGAUGCAACGCGAAGAACCUUACCUGGUCUUGACAUAGUAAGAACUUUCCAGAGAUGGAUUGGUGCCUUCGGGAACUUACAUACAGGUGCUGCAUGGSUGUCGUCAGCUCGUGUCGUGAGAUGUUGGGUUAAGUCCCGCAACGAGCGCAACCCUUUUCCUUAUUUGCCAGCACUUCGGGUGGGAACUUUAAGGAUACUGCCAGUGACAAACUGGARGAAGGCGGGGACGACGUCAAGUCAUCAUGGCCCUUACGACCAGGGCUACACACGUGCUACAAUGGUCGGUACAAAGGGUUGCUACCUAGCGAUAGGAUGCUAAUCUCAAAAAGCCGAUCGUAGUCCGGAUUGGAGUCUGCAACUCGACUCCAUGAAGUCKGAAUCGCUAGUAAUCGCGGAUCAGAAUGCCGCGGUGAAUACGUUCCCGGGCCUUGUAC